UCCUGAAUUGGUCUAAUGUUCUUAAUGUUUUCUCCUCUUUUUGAUAUACUUUUGGGAAAUACUCUCUCAUUUAUUUCCCAUACCUUCUAUUGAAUGUUUCUAUGAUGUUACCAUGUUUUUAUGUUUGGAGAACCACUUUAUGUUUCCAGUUUGGAGGGUGUUGCAGUAAUCCAGGCAGUAGUUGGGAGUGUCUGGGAACAGGGUGGUAGCAAUGACAAUGAUGAAAUGAAAUCAUAUCUGCAUGUAUUUUGGAAUGUAGAACCAUGAGGAUUUAUGAUGUACUUGGUGUGGAAUGUGAGCAAAAGGAGUUAAGGAUAGCCCAACCAGCAGAUGGGUCUCCAUCAUGUGAGAGAGGGGAGAGUGUGGGCACAGUAGGUCUACCUUUAGAGUUCCAGUAUGAAGUCAUCUAGAGUGAAGUUAUUUGUUUACAAAAGGGCAAUCAGGGUGAGCUCAAGGAAUAUUCAGUUUGUCCAGGCAAGUUAAAGGUACAGUUAAGUUUCAGGAAUUAACUAACCUCAACCUAUUUCAACCUUUUGACAUUCAAUGAAGAUUUUUUCCCAAGCCUCGUAUG